CAAGCUACCAUUCGUACUUUCUCUAUCUGCGGGGUUGAGGAUGAGAGUACCUUCCACGCUCUUGUUUCUUGCCCAAAGGCUCAUGCACUUCGUUUGGCGUUGAGGAAAGUGUGGAAUUUGCCAAGGGAAGAGGCUUUCAAUUAUUCCGGGCCUGACUGGUUACUUAUUCUUUUAGACCAGUUAAGUUGUUCGCAAAGGGAGCACGUCUUGUUUAUUUUCUGGCGAGCUUGGCACUUGAGGAAUGAUUUGAUUUUUGGGGAAGGAAAAGAAACUGUUAAAGGAUCCGCCAUGUUUUUGGAAAGUUACUGGUCGGCAUUUUCGUUCUGUCAGCCUACAAAUGAGGUAAUCACCAAUUACAAAGGAAAAGAGGUGGUGGCUGGUUUUGGUGCAAGUAAUACUGUUGUGAGGCCCAGAGAGGUGUGGCAGCCGCCUCCUUUUGUCCAUAUCAAGAUCAAUGUCGAUGCAGGUUUGUGGAGAGUUUAA
rnacentral:rRNA from 1 species